rnacentral:siRNA from 1 species
GGCCCAUUAGCUCAGUUGGUU